rnacentral:rRNA from 1 species
UACGGAGGGUGCAAGCGUUGUUCGGAAUUACUGGGCGUAAAGCGCGUGUAGGCGGCCUUCUAAGUCUGGUGUGAAAGCCCGGGGCUCACCCCCGGAAGUGCAUUGGAUACUGGAAGGCUGGAGUACCGGAGAGGAGGGUGGAAUUCCUGGUGUAGCGGUGAAAUGCGUAGAUAUCAGGAGGAACACCUGUGGCGAAGGCGGCCCUCUGGACGGAUACUGACGCUGAGACGCGAAAGCGUGGGGAGCAAACAGG